rnacentral:lncRNA from 1 species
GAGUAUUUGAUUUUCUGAACAGAACACAAAGCAUUGUCUGUUUUAGGAAUUGGCCUGUCUUCAGGAUCCAUUCCCUUAUUUCAAUCAUUCUUAAAUUCUAUCCAAGGACUGUUGUGUUUCAACCGUUGAUCUCCCUUGGAACAGAUGACCUGAGAUCAGAAAAGAGAGGUGCUCAUUAUUUAUGCAGGCAGUUGGUUAUUUAACACAUCUUUAACUCUUAAAAUUACCCUUCCAAAACUUGUACAUCUCUGAGGAGACAUUUCUAGAGAUGGAACUCCCAUUUUGACUAAAGCUUUUGUUAAAAUCAGAGGGGCAGGGCUAUAACUGCCCAGCCAAAUUCUUGAUUCGAUGCAAAAUACAAGUAGGUUGGGUUCUUAUGCCUAAGCCUAUAGAAAACUCUACAUACCCUGUCUUCAUGUAAUGAAAUUGGUCUUCUCCUUGAAUGCAGUUUUCAAGCUGCUGAAUUCUGCACCUGCAGCAAUUUCUGGCUUAUUUUCAAGAAAGUCCCAGGGAAUCACAAAUUAUAGAGCUAUAUGCCUUGCACAGAAGUUUAACAACAUAGCCCCAUGUAGUCUUUGCAUUAAACACAUCAGAAAUUAAGGGAAAUGAAGAUAAACAGCAAAUAUUAAAAUUUGGUUGCACUCAGCAUGUAUGAAAGUAGGGGUUGUACAGUCGUUUGCUUAGUGUUUCUAUGGCCCAAAUAAGCCUACUUUUAGUUAUUUCCUGCACCUUUCUAAAAUCCUAACACUAUGUGUCAGGAGUAAUGAGUCUCUAUUUUUAAAAAAUUGUGUUUAACCAUAUUAAAUCCAAUAAUGAAGUCUCUGAAAUAAUUCAGACAGCAGUGCUGUCAAUCAGUAGAGCUUUUUCAAGAAACACUAAUUGUCCUGUGAGAUGGUGCAGCAGGCUGUGUAGAAAGUUGAACAUUUACAUGAUCUCUAGCCAAAUUUCCAGUGUCUGCCUAGAUUUAUGGCUUUCAGUCUCACUGAAGUUUUGUAGUCUCAUAUGACACUCAUUGUAUUCGUAUCUAUUGACUGAUGACAUAUCAGCUAAUAAGUACAUAAAUAUAAGUAAUGUUAGAAAAUCACAGCUGGGCGUGGUGACUCAUGCCUAUAAUCCCAGUACUUUGGGAGGCCGAGGUGGGUGAAUCACCUGAGGUUAGGAGUUGGAGAUCAUCCUGGCCCACAUGGUGAAACCCCAUCUCUAAUAAAAAUACAUUAACUGGGCGUGGUGGCGGGCACCUGUAAUACCAGCUACUCCAGAGGCUGUGGCAGGAG